GUGGGGAAUAUUGGACAAUGGGCGAAAGCCUGAUCCAGCCAUGCCGCGUGUGUGAAGAAGGUCUUCGGAUUGUAAAGCACUUUAAGUUGGGAGGAAGGGCAGUAAGCGAAUACCUUGCUGUUUUGACGUUACCGACAGAAUAAGCACCGGCUAACUCUGUGCCAGCAGCCGCGGUAAUACAGAGGGUGCAAGCGUUAAUCGGAAUUACUGGGCGUAAAGCGCGCGUAGGUGGUUCGUUAAGUUGGAUGUGAAAUCCCCGGGCUCAACCUGGGAACUGCAUCCAAAACUGGCGAGCUAGAGUAGGGCAGAGGGUGGUGGAAUUUCCUGUGUAGCGGUGAAAUGCGUAGAUAUAGGAAGGAACACCAGUGGCGAAGGCGACCACCUGGGCUAAUACUGACACUGAGGUGCGAAAGCGUGGGGAGCAAACAGG
rnacentral:rRNA from 1 species